rnacentral:lncRNA from 1 species
UUUUUCAAUGCCCCUUGGCAAUCAUUAUUUCACCUGACCGUUUGAUCUCUUUUUUUUUCAACAGCUUGAGUAUAGGUUCACACGUGGCUGUUAGAGGAGAAGUGAACCAUGACAUGUAGUUCAAUCUACCUAAUAGACCACAAACCUCUUUUUCUGUUUUCGGUUCAGGCAUUUCUUGUGUUUUUUUUCUUUUUUUUCUUUUUUUUAGCAGGAUCGACCUCGAUUCCUCUUUUCCAAUGAACCCCAGCAUCUUACCGGACUGCACUCUGAUAGUGCACUUAUCUGAAUUCAACCUCAGUUUGAAUUGUCUCAACCAGUCCACUCAGCUUGGCCAGAUCUGCCAGAUGCCCCUCUUCUGUCUGGGACUUUG